rnacentral:rRNA from 1 species
UACAGAGGGCGCAAGCGUUGUUCGGAUUUAUUGGGCGUAAAGGGCGCGUAGGCGGCUUGGCAAGUCGGGUGUGAAAUCUUGGAGCUUAACUCCGAAACUGCAUUCGAUACUGCCGUGCUUGAGGACUGGAGAGGAGACUGGAAUUUACGGUGUAGCGGUGAAAUGCGUAGAUAUCGUAAGGAAGACCAGUGGCGAAGGCGGGUCUCUGGACAGUUCCUGACGCUGAGGCACGAAGGCCAGGGGAGCAAACGGG